AUUUAGCAGUGAGGGAUAUUGGUCAAUAGCCUAACGGCUGAACCAGCAACUUGGGAGGAAUGUAUAGCGAAAGCUGGUUGUAUUAACUGUUAGUUAAUGCAACAUCGACCAUGUCGAAUAAAAUUCUAGAUAGAAUUAUGAUAAUGACAUUGUCUAUCUAUAUGUCUUGACAAAGUCACGUGCCAGCAGUCGCGGUAAUACGUGGUAGACUAGUGUUAUUCAUCUUUAAUAGGUUUAAAGGGUACUUAGACGGUAAAUUAAGCCACCAAAAUGGUACUAAUUUUCUAGAGUUUUAUGCGAGGGGGGGUGUAUUGAAGAGUGGAGAGAUGAAAUUUUGUGAUACCUUCUGGAACAGUCAACGGCGAAAGCAACCCUUUAUGUAAAAACUGACGUUGAGGGGACGAAG
rnacentral:rRNA from 1 species